GACAAGUUGGUGAAACAACUUUGAAUGAUACCCGUUCUCGAUCACAUCAGAUAAUAAGACUGACGAUAGGGAGCACAGUUCGGGAUACUUCAGACUGCGUGAGGUCCAUUGUUUCAAGCCUUGUAUAUUUUGAUAUUUACCUGAAGCAUAUAUGAUACUCAAUGUUGAAUCGUACGUUUGCGAAAUUUGAUCAGCGUUUGUGAAGGUAAAACAUAUAAUUAAAUGCUCUCUGUUGUUUCAGGAAUUCAUAUCAACUACCUGAUGUUCUUGAUUCUUAACUGUUUGGGGAUAUACCAGCAGCAGCUACCGCGGAGGAUAUUGAUAUUGCUGUGA
rnacentral:lncRNA from 1 species